UACGUAGGGCGCAAGCGUUGUCCGGAAUUAUUGGGCGUAAAGAGCUCGUAGGCGGCUUGUCACGUCGGAUGUGAAAGCCCGGGGCUUAACUCCGGGUCUGCAUUCGAUACGGGCUGGCUAGAGUGGUAGGGGAGAUCGGAAUUCCUGGUGUAGCGGUGAAAUGCGCAGAUAUCAGGAGGAACACCGGUGGCGAAGGCGGAUCUCUGGGCCAUUACUGACGCUGAGGAGCGAAAGCGUGGGGAGCGAACAGG
rnacentral:rRNA from 1 species